CGCCCCGGGGCCCCUGGCUCCUGGCCCCGCCCCAGCCUAGGCCAGUCGCUGCGCCAUUUCCUGUCCAAAGCUGGGCGAGUCAGGUUAAUUCACCGGACUGGGCCUCUGUUCCGUGGGAGUUGAAAAGAUUUGAUCUGGAAGAAACCCUACGGAUCAUUCAGUUAAGCCGCAACCCCACUCCGUUUUAUAUAGGGAUUCCGGUUCACAAUGGAUGCUGAUCAAGAGAAAGAUCUGCAGAAAUUUCUUAAAAAUGUGGAUGAAAUCACCAAUUUAAUUCAGGAGAUGAAUUCUGAUGACCCAGUUGUGCAACAGAACGCUGUCCUGGAGACAGAAAAGAGACUACUGCUUAUGGAGGAAGACCAGGAGGAGGAUGAAUGGAGGACCACCUUGAAUAAGACUGUGAUCAGUCCUCCACAAACUGCUGUGAAGAGUGCCGAAGAAGUAAACUCAGAGGCCUUCUUGGCAUCUGUGGAGAAGGAUGCAAAGGAACGAGCCAAGAGAAGAAGGGAAAACAAAGUCUUAGCAGAUGCCCUAAAAGAAAAAGGGAAUGAAGCAUUUGCUGAAGGCAAUUAUGAAACAGCUAUCCUGCACUAUAGUGAGGGUUUGGAGAAGCUGAAGGACGUGAAAGUGCUGUACACCAACCGAGCCCAGGCUUAUAUGAAACUUAAGAACUAUGAGAAGGCACUGGUGGAUUGUGAAUGGGCUCUCAAGUGUGAUGAAAAAUGUACAAAAGCAUAUUUUCACAUGGGAAAAGCCAACCUGGCCCUGAAGAACUACAGUGUGUCUAGAGAGUGCUAUAAGAAGAUCUUAGAAAUAAACCCCAAGCUGCAAACCCAGGUGAAAGAUUACCUGAAUCAAGUAGAUCUUCAGGAAAAAGCAGACCUUCAAGAAAAGGAAGCCCACGAACUGCUGGAUUCAGGAAAGAAUACAGCUGUGAACACUAAGAACCUCCUGGAGACCCUUUCCAAGCCUGACCAGAUCCCCUUGUUCUAUGCAGGGGGGAUUGAGAUCCUGACUGAAAUGAUAAAGGAGUGCACAGAACAAACUUUAUUCAGAAUGCACAAUGGAUUUAGUAUCAUCAGUGACAACGAGGUCAUAAGAAGGUGUUUUUCCACAGCAGGAAAAGAUGCAGUUGAAGAGACGGUCUGUGUGUCUGUUCUCAAGCUCUGGCAAGCAGUGUGCUGUGGGAACGAGGAAAAUCAGCGUGUGCUAGUGAUGCACCCUGACAGGGCCAGGCUGUUGGCCACCCUCUUGUCCUCCAAGGUCCUGGCCAUCAGGCAGCAGAGCCUUGCCCUGCUGCUACAGCUCGCCCAGACUGAGAGCGGACGGAGCCUGAUCAUCAGCCACCUUGACCUGACCAGAUUAUUGGAAGCCCUGGUGUCAUUUCUUGAUUUCUCGGAUAAGGAGGCCAACACUGCUAUGGGACUGUUCACAGACUUGGCUCUGGAAGAAAGAUUCCAAGUCUGGUUCCAGGCCAACCUUCCAGGUGUUCUCCCUGCACUCACGGGCGUUCUGAAGACAGAUCGCAAGGUAAGCAGCUCCUCAGCUCUGUGCCAGUGCAUUGCCAUCAUGGGAAACCUCAGUGCUGAGCCUGCCACCCGAAGACACAUGGCGGCCUGUGAGGAAUUUGGGGAUGGCUGCUUGAGCCUCCUGGCCAGGUGUGAGGAGGAUGUGGACCUGUUCAGAGAGGUUAUCUACACACUCCUGGGACUCAUGAUGAACCUGUGUCUUCAGGCUCCCUUUGUCUCUGAGGUUUGGGCUGUGGAGGUGAGCAGAAAGUGCCUGUCUUUACUAAACAGCCAGGAUGGAGGAAUCCUGACAAGAGCUGCUGGUGUUCUGAGCCGGACCCUUUCUUCCUCUCUGAAAAUUGUUGAGGAGGCCUUGCAAGCAGGAGUGGUAAAGAAAAUGAUGAAAUUCCUGAAGACAGGAGGCGAGACUGCAUCACGUUAUGCUAUAAAGAUACUAGCUAUCUGCACGAAUAGUUAUCACGAAGCUCGGGAAGAAGUAAUAAGAUUGGAUAAAAAGUUGAGCAUUAUGAUGAAGCUGCUCAGCUCGGAGGAUGAGGUUCUGGUGGGCAACGCUGCCCUCUGCCUUGGUAACUGCAUGGAGGUGCCCAACGUUGCGUCUUCCCUGCUAAAGACAGACCUCCUGCAGGUCUUGUUAAGGCUCGCAGGCAGUGACACACAGAAGACGGCCGUGCAGGUGAACGCAGGCAUUGCUCUGGGGAAGCUGUGCACAGCUGAGCCCAGGUAUGCUGUGGACACGGAGCCAGGCUGACCCAGCGUCGGUCCCAUUGCAGAAAGCAGCUGAGCUGAGGCGCUGACUUUUGGCUGGGACUGCGUGCCACACAGGAUGCUGUGGGAAGCCCUCAUGGUUUCUGUGCAGACCUAGGUUAAGCCCAAUAGCUGCUUCUCUGAAGAAAGCCUUUCUAGAGGAAACGGGAGCUCUUGGGCUCCAACCAGAGAGGGAAUCAGCUUGUCUGAUGGGGACUUGCUGCUCACACUUGCUGCUGUUGCCUUCUCUCCAUUCCAUUUUCCGCUGUUCUGCAUCCCUCUCCCUGUCUCUUUAUCCUCCUUCUCCUCCACCCCACUCCACCUCCCCUUCUCUUCCCUCUUUUCUCUCUUCUCUACUUUUCCAGAAACAGACCCCCACUUCAUGUUCUUUGUCUCAGCCUAAACAAAUGGAGGAAUGGCCAGCGAGGGUCACAUGUUCAUGCAGGAGGAAACAGUGGAGAAGCAGAGACGCAGAACAGCACAUCGAGGCCCCCAGUUUGCUGCUCAACUGAGAAAGCUUCAUGGCCUAGAAAUUCUCAACUCUACAAUGAAAUACAUCAGUGAUUCUUGAGAGAUACGGUGUCUGUGUGCAUUUAGGGAACACACAAAUGCACACUACGGGUUGUUCCUAUGCUAAUAAAGACCUUUGAUAUAUCCACUUCAGAAUCAA